UACGGAAGGUCCGGGCGUUAUCCGGAUUUAUUGGGUUUAAAGGGAGCGUAGGCCGUGGAUUAAGCGUGUUGUGAAAUGUAGACGCUCAACGUCUGACUUGCAGCGCGAACUGGUCCACUUGAGUGUGCGCAACGCAGGCGGAAUUCGUCGUGUAGCGGUGAAAUGCUUAGAUAUGACGAAGAACCCCGAUUGCGAAGGCAGCUUGCGGGAGCACGACUGACGCUGAAGCUCGAAAGUGCGGGUAUCGAACAGG
rnacentral:rRNA from 1 species